AUGGUGAAGCAAAUUGAGCAGAAGUUUGCUUUUCAGGAAGCCUUGGAGGCUGCAGGCGAUAAACCUGGAGUAGUUGACUUCUCAGGCACAUGAUGUGGGCCUUGCAAAAUGAUCGAGCCUUUGUUUCAUUCCCUCUCUGAAAAGUAUUCUAACAUGAUAUCCCUUGAAGUAGAUGUGGAUGACUGUCAGGAUGUUGCUUCAGAGUGUGAAGUCAAAUGCAUGCCAACCUAGUUUUUUAAGAAGGGACAAAAGGUAGGUGAAUUUUCUGGAGCUAUAAUAAUAAGGAAAAUCUUGAAGCCACCACUAAUGAAUUAG
rnacentral:lncRNA from 1 species